GAUCAUGGCUCAGGAUGAACGCUGGCGGCGUGCUUAACACAUGCAAGUCGAACGGACGAUGAAGAGCUUGCUUUUCAAAGUUAGUGGCGGACGGGUGAGUAACGCGUGGGUAACCUGCCUCAUACAGGGGGAUAACAGUUAGAAAUGGCUGCUAAUACCGCAUAAGACCACGGUACUGCAUGGUACAGUGGUAAAAACUCCGGUGGUAUGAGAUGGACCCGCGUCUGAUUAGGUAGUUGGUGAGG
rnacentral:rRNA from 1 species